rnacentral:tRNA from 1 species
GCAAGUUAGUAUAAAUAAUUAAUACCUUUAACUUAGGAUUAAAAGCAAAAGACAAAUCUUUACUUGCU